AGUUUAUGAUGAGGACAUUUCCUCAACAAAUCCUUAAGACUCUCACAUGCCUUAAAUAAUGAUUCAGUAUCAAUCCAACUGUGCAUAUUUUGUAAUCUCUUGAUGCAACU